GUGCGUAACGCGUAUACAAUCUGCCUUUCACUGGGGGAUAGCCCGAAGAAAUUUGGAUUAAUACCCCAUAGUAUAGGAGCACGGCAUCGUGAUACUAUUAAAGCUUAGGUGGUGAAAGAUGAGUAUGCGUUCUAUUAGCUAGUUGGAGAGGUAACGGCUCCCCAAGGCGAUGAUAGAUAGGGGUUCUGAGAGGGAUGUCCCCCACACUGGUACUGAGAUACGGACCAGACUCCUACGGGAGGCAGCAGUGAGGAAUAUUGGACAAUGGUCGGAAGACUGAUCCAGCCAUGCCGCGUGCAGGAUGAAGGUCUUAUGGAUUGUAAACUGCU
rnacentral:rRNA from 1 species